UGAGUGAUGAAGGCUUUCGGGUCGUAAAACUCUGUUGUUAGGGAAGAACAAGUACAAGAGUAACUGCUUGUACCUUGACGGUACCUAACCAGAAAGCCACGGCUAACUACGUGCCAGCAGCCGCGGUAAUACGUAGGUGGCAAGCGUUAUCCGGAAUUAUUGGGCGUAAAGCGCGCGCAGGCGGUUUCUUAAGUCUGAUGUGAAAGCCCACGGCUCAACCGUGGAGGGUCAUUGGAAACUGGGGAACUUGAGUGCAGAAGAGAAAAGCGGAAUUCCACGUGUAGCGGUGAAAUGCGUAGAGAUGUGGAGGAACACCAGUGGCGAAGGCGGCUUUUUGGUCUGUAACUGACGCUGAGGCGC
rnacentral:rRNA from 2 species